rnacentral:lncRNA from 1 species
CAUCGGCUCUAGGUUACAAGUAUAGAGUUCUAAAGUGAAAAAAGUUAAAGUUGGAUUAAAAAAAACUUAACUUUUGACAUGAUAAUUUUUUCAAUAAAGCUCGAAAAGCUACUGAAAAGAUAAUCCAAAAAUUGAGCAUUCCCUACGUAUUAAAUAAAUUAUUAUGUUUACAGAUAUCUAAUAGAUAGAAAUAGAAUAUGAAUAGAAUAUCAAAUCAUUUGCAAUAUCCAUCAACGGU